AUGAACGCUAGCUACAGGCUUAACACAUGCAAGUCGAGGGGCAGCAUGGUCUUAGCUUGCUAAGGCCGAUGGCGACCGGCGCACGGGUGAGUAACACGUAUCCAACCUGCCGUCUACUCUUGGACAGCCUUCUGAAAGGAAGAUUAAUACAAGAUGGCAUCAUGAGUCCGCAUGUUCACAUGAUUAAAGGUAUUCCGGUAGACGAUGGGGAUGCGUUCCAUUAGAUAGUAGGCGGGGUAACGGCCCACCUAGUCUUCGAUGGAUAGGGGUUCUGAGAGGAAGGUCCCCCACAUUGGAACUGAGACACGGUCCAAACUCCUACGGGAGGCAGCAGUGAGGAAUAUUGGUCAAUGGGCGAGAGCCUGAACCAGCCAAGUAGCGUGAAGGAUGACUGCCCUAUGGGUUGUAAACUUCUUUUAUAAAGGAAUAAAGUCGGGUAUGCAUACCCGUUUGCAUGUACUUUAUGAAUAAGGAUCGGCUAACUCCGUGCCAGCAGCCGCGGUAAUACGGAGGAUCCGAGCGUUAUCCGGAUUUAUUGGGUUUAAAGGGAGCGUAGAUGGAUGUUUAAGUCAGUUGUGAAAGUUUGCGGCUCAACCGUAAAAUUGCAGUUGAUACUGGAUAUCUUGAGUGCAGUUGAGGCAGGCGGAAUUCGUGGUGUAGCGGUGAAAUGCUUAGAUAUCACGAAGAACUCCGAUUGCGAAGGCAGCCUGCUAAGCUGCAACUGACAUUGAGGCUCGAAAGUGUGGGUAUCAAACAGGAUUAGAUACCCUGGUAGUCCACACGGUAAACGAUGAAUACUCGCUGUUUGCGAUAUACGGCAAGCGGCCAAGCGAAAGCGUUAAGUAUUCCACCUGGGGAGUACGCCGGCAACGGUGAAACUCAAAGGAAUUGACGGGGGCCCGCACAAGCGGUGGAGUAUGUGGUUUAAUUCGAAGCAACGCGAAGAACCUUACCAGGUCUUGACAUCGAGUGACGAACUUAGAGAUAAGUUCUUCCUUCGGGACACGAAGACAGGUGGUGCAUGGUUGUCGUCAGCUCGUGCCGUGAGGUGUCGGCUUAAGUGCCAUAACGAGCGCAACCCUUGUUGUCAGUUACUAACAGGUUUCGCUGAGGACUCUGACAAGACUGCCAUCGUAAGAUGUGAGGAAGGUGGGGAUGACGUCAAAUCAGCACGGCCCUUACGUCCGGGGCUACACACGUGUUACAAUGGGGGGUACAGAGGGCCGCUACCACGCGAGUGGAUGCCAAUCCCAAAAACCUCUCUCAGUUCGGACUGGAGUCUGCAACCCGACUCCACGAAGCUGGAUUCGCUAGUAAUCGCGCAUCAGCCACGGCGCGGUGAAUACGUUCCCGGGCCUUGUACACACCGCCCGUCAAGCCAUGGGAGCCGGGGGUACCUGAAGUGCGUAACCGCGAGGAGCGCCCUAGGGUAAAACUGGUGACUGGGGCU
rnacentral:rRNA from 1 species